UACGGGGGGAGCAAGCGUUGUUCGGAUUUACUGGGCGUAAAGGGCGCGUAGGCGGCCUACUAAGUCGGACGUGAAAUCCCUCGGCUCAACCGGGGAACUGCGUCCGAUACUGGUGGGCUCGAAUCCGGGAGAGGGAUGUGGAAUUCCAGGUGUAGCGGUGAAAUGCGUAGAUAUCAGGAGGAACACCGGUGGCGAAGGCGGGUCUCUGGGCAGUAACUGACGCUGGAGGAGCGAAAGCGUGGGGAGCGAACAGG
rnacentral:rRNA from 1 species